UUGUCAAUUAAUUUCUUUUUUAGCCAUGGCGUUGUCAUUUUAUUUCUUUUUUAGCCAUGGCGUUGUCAUUUAAUUUCUUUUUUAGCCAUGGUGUUGUCAUUUUAUUUCUUUUUUAGCCAUGGCGUUCCCACAAAACACAAAAACGUUCAGGAAAUGUUCCAGGAACGUUUCUGUUUCGUUGUGAGAACGUUGUGAUUUAACAUUGUAGGAACGUAAAAGUGUGGACUACCAGUUACGUUGUAAGAACGUUAUGAUAUAACGUUAUGGAAAACCAACCUGGAACCUAAAUAGAACCUUGUGUAACCAAACUGGAACCUUGAUAGAACCUUGUAUAACCAAUCUGGAACCUUAAUAGAACCUUGUGUAACCAAUCAGAAACCUUUAAAGAACCUGUUGUAACCAAUCUGGAACCUAAAUAUAAUCAUUUGUUACCAAUCUGGAACCCAAAUUUAACCUAGUCCCAGACAACAUUUGUAUGUUGGCACAACAAUGG
rnacentral:lncRNA from 1 species